rnacentral:rRNA from 1 species
UAGGGAAUCUUCCACAAUGGACGCAAGUCUGAUGGAGCAACGCCGCGUGAGUGAAGAAGGUCUUCGGACCGUAAAACUCUGUUGUUAGAGAAGAACACGAGUGAGAGUAACUGUUCAUUCGAUGACGGUAUCUAACCAGCAAGUCACGGCUAACUACGUGCCAGCAGCCGCGGUAAUACGUAGGUGGCAAGCGUUGUCCGGAUUUAUUGGGCGUAAAGGGAACGCAGGCGGUCUUUUAAGUCUGAUGUGAAAGCCUUCGGCUUAACCGGAGUAGUGCAUUGGAAACUGGAAGACUUGAGUGCAGAAGAGGAGAGUGGAACUCCAUGUGUAGCGGUGAAAUGCGUAGAUAUAUGGAAGAACACCAGUGGCGAAAGCGGCUCUCUGGUCUGUAACUGACGCUGAGGUUCGAAAGCGUGGGUAGCAAACAGGAUUAGAUACCCUGGUAGUCCACGCCGUAAACGAUGAAUGCUAGGUGUUGGAGGGUUUCCGCCCUUCAGUGCCGCAGCUAACGCAAUAAGCAUUCCGCCUGGGGAGUACGACCGCAAGGUUG